AAGUCGUAACAAGGUUUCCGUAGGUGAACCUGCGGAAGGAUCAUUAACACGUUAUCCACGUAUCAACCAAUCGAGAACUUGUUUUCACGUCUCCCUUUGCAAUUUGAAUGAAUUGGCUAACCAGUUUGAGGGAAUUGAUGUGGAUUGCAUUCAUUUGCAAUCGGCCUUCCUGGUAUACUUAUGAGCUAUUGAAAAAUAGUUUGUUAACAAUUGUAUCUUAUUGCUGAAAGGCCAAAUUUCUUUCGAUAUUUUGAUCUCCAUCAUGAUCAAUAAAAUAUUGAAGGAGAAACCUUAUAAACUAUUUUCACCACCUUUUUGCUAGUUGACUUUUUAUAUGUGAUUGUUUUGCUUAAUUGCAAUGUAGUCGCACGUUUAAUUACUUGAACGUUAAAAAAUACAACUCUUAGCAAUGGAUAUCUUGGUUCUC
rnacentral:misc_RNA from 1 species